AAGUCGUAACAAGGUUUCCGUAGGUGAACCUGCGGAAGGAUCAUUCAUAAUGAGUGUAUAAUGGCACUCUUAAAAUCCAUUACCCACCUUGUGUGCAAUGUCGAGAGAGGUCGCAGCUUUUGGUUGCUUCCUCUUUUCAUACAUACUCGUUUUGAUUGCAGUAUCAGUCUACAUAUCUAGAGUAAUAAUAAAACUCGAAAUACAACUUUCAACAACGGAUCUCUUGGCUCUC
rnacentral:misc_RNA from 1 species